GGCGGAUUCAGAACUGCAGGAUGGUAAAUUCGGAGAGGUAUGAUUUUUCUGGACUUUGGCUUGGGACAAUCUUAAAGAAGUCCAGAAUUACAUAUCAGAAACCGAAUGUAAUGAGAGAAAUUUGGAGAGGUAUGAUUUUUCUGGAUUUUGGCUUGGGAAUGUUGCUAUUGUGGGAGGUUAAUAUAGAGGCUUCUAUGCUUUUACUAGGAGCUAUUUUGACUUUUCUCACUGUUACAGCAAUCUUAAAGAAGUCCAGAAUUACAUAUCAGAAACCGAAUGUAGUGAGAGAUGGGGCGCGCCUAACAAUAAAAUAUAAGAAAAAAGGACCUCCCGGAAUGUCUAGUGACAUGGGAGUGUAUGUAAGAAGAGAAACUGCAACGUAUAAGAAAAAAGGACCUCCCGGGGUGUCUAGUGACAAGGGAGUGUAUAUAAAAAGAGAAACUACAACAAAAAGCUCAAGAGAUAAAGUUUUAAAAGGAACAGCUCAGCUGGAUGAGGGAGAGACAGAGAAGGAGGGAGAAAGAAUGGGGAAUGGCCGGUCACACCCCGGUAAAUUUAGGAGAGAUGAGGACUCGGAACCUAGCCUCUGCCCUACAACGAAACUGGAAGCCUUGGAGCUAAGCAGCUCAGACUCUGAGAUUUUAGACUCUAACAAGGAAGCAGAGCUAGAGAAAGAAGCAGCACGGCCAAAAAUGCCAGCGGGUGUGCUUCCAUCAGCACCCCCACUAUUUAGAACCGACUCCUUCUUACCAUCAGAGGAGCGGAGAAAAUUACAGAUGGCUUUCCCAGUCUUUGAUAGGGGAAAAGGCCAUGCCUGCUAUUCAACACUUCUUAAAGGCCUGGAAUGCCUGGGGCUUUAAAGCCUCAUUAACAUUAACGCUGGGGGCCAUACCGAGGCCAAGCGUCUCACCUCAAAAACUAAAAGGCCAAAAGGAAAUGGUAAAAUGAAAAGAUAUCUUUACUGAUUUUUGGAAAGGCCCGGAUCCUAUUCUCAUAAGAUCCAGGGGAGCGAUAUUGUGUUUUCUCACAGGAUGAAGAGAAUCCCCUGUGGAUCCCAGAAAGAUUCAACCUAAAGAGCCUCUCCAGACCUUCAAAAGUCAAAACUCCACCCUCUCCCCCGGGAAUUGAGAGCCGCUAUUGUUAUCCAGAUUAACUCCUGCCCUUGGCGGAGAGAUUGUCACUGCUUAAGGGGUGGA
rnacentral:lncRNA from 1 species